rnacentral:tRNA from 1 species
UGGCUCAGCUGGUAGAGCGCUCCACCUAUAAUGGAGAGGUCCCGGGUUCGACACCCGG